GAGAAUUCCAGAGAGGAGCCCCAGUGACUGCCCCCCACCUCACAGGAGCUGACAAGAUAUCACAACAUGCGCGCACACAGGAACACACAAUUGAAGGAAACAGAGAACAGUGAAGGCAACACGUUGGAGGACACACCUGCAGCUCGGCAUCAUUCCCUGCUUUCUGGCUGUGUGUCUCGUCUCCCUGGAUUCCCUCUGGACUUCCUGCUGCCUCCCCGGAUCUCGACCUCCCGCUUGCCCCACCCACGGACAACGAGGUCUCGCUCCAGCCCCUGACCACUUGCCUGUCCCCGGAACUCCGAGCCGGCCUUGCCCUUUCUGGACUUUUGCACCUAUCUCAACACGCACCUUCAAGAUCUCCAGAGUUGAGGGGGGUGCUGGUGCCUAUCUCAACUACAAUCAGGCGGAAGGCGGGGUACACCCUGGACAAGUCGCCACCUCAUCGCAGGGCCAACACAGAUAGACGGACAACAUCCACACUCACAUUCACACACUAGGGACUAUUUAGUGUUGCCAAUCAACCUAUCCCCAGGUGCAUGUCUUUGGAGGUGGGAGGGGCCUAUCCACAGGUGCAUGUCUUCGGAGGUGGGAGGAAGCCGGAGUACCCGGAGGGAACCCACGUAUUCAAGGAGGGGACAUGCAAACUCCACACAGAAAGAUCCCGAGCCCGGGAUUGAACCCAGGACUA